rnacentral:rRNA from 1 species
UGCGUAGGGUGCGAGCGUUGUCCGGAAUUAUUGGGCGUAAAGAGCUUGUAGGCGGUUUGUCGCGUCUGCCGUGAAAAUCCGGGGCUCAACCCCGGACUUGCGGUGGGUACGGGCAGACUAGAGUGUGGUAGGGGAGACUGGAAUUCCUGGUGUAGCGGUGAAAUGCGCAGAUAUCAGGAGGAACACCGGUGGCGAAGGCGGGUCUCUGGGCCGAUACUGACGCUGAGGAGCGAAAGCGUGGGGAGCGAACAGG